rnacentral:rRNA from 1 species
UACGUAGGGGGCAAGCGUUAUCCGGAUUUACUGGGUGUAAAGGGAGCGUAGACGGUUUUGCAAGUCUGAAGUGAAAGCCCGGGGCUUAACCCCGGGACUGCUUUGGAAACUGUAGGACUAGAGUGCAGGAGAGGUAAGUGGAAUUCCUAGUGUAGCGGUGAAAUGCGUAGAUAUUAGGAGGAACACCAGUGGCGAAGGCGGCUUACUGGACUGUAACUGACGUUGAGGCUCGAAAGCGUGGGGAGCAAACAGG